rnacentral:lncRNA from 1 species
GAGGAGAAUUGCUCACUGAAACAAAGAAGAAACUGAAAGUAAAACUAUGGGAAGCAUCUAGGAAUGGAAGGAAAUGUGUGACGGUUAAUACUAUGGACUUGACAGGAUCAAGGAGACAAGCAGCGCUAUGCCUGUGAGAGAUCGUCAUCAGUAGGUUAACUGAGGUAGAAGACCCGAGCUAAAGGAUGGCAGCAUCCUUCCCUAUGCCUCGGUCCUGGAUAACACACAGAGGAAAAAGCUUGUUGAGUACCAGAGGUCGUUCAUCACUCCCGUCAAUCCCUUCUUCUCGGCUUCCAACACAGCAUGGCCAGCCGCCUCAAGGCCCUGCUGCCUUGUCCUCCAUGCCUGACAGACCGUAAAGCUCUCCGGGAUAGAUGGAGGCAGCAGCCUGUGCCAGCUCAACAGCUCUUGUUGUAUGGUAACAGGCUCCUCUACACUUUCUGACACACCGGCCUUGCUGAGCUAAAGCAUGCGGUAUUAAACUUCCUGCAGGCCCCUAAAACUUCCAGAAGUCGGCUUUUUGUUUGUUCUAGGUUAUCUGCCCAGGGGAUUUGCAGUAGAGAUUCUCAUCAGAGAGGCUCCUCUGCCUGUCAUGCCUUUCAUGCCACCACCACUACCCUUCAGUGCUAUCAGAACUCAGCUGCUUGCUUGACACAUCUGGAGAGCAGAAGUUGUGAGACACGAGGCUUCAGGAGAGCAUUUGAAUCUGUGGGGACUGAAGAAAGAGACAUCUUGGCCUCGGGGAAUGGGGAAUAGCACCACAGGUCAAGUGAUGGGUGGGUGUGGGCCAGGAGCUAGUGCAUAACGGACGGACCACCAGACAGAAGAAACUGUUGUUAUAUGAAGCCUUACGUCUUUCCAGCAGCGCUAGGCUGGUUCGAUGAGCAGACAGCAGACAUCCCCAAGCAGCAUUCAGCCAAGGCAAGUGUUUGGGGCAGGAUUUAUGAGGCUAUCCUGUGCAAGACAGACUGAAAUGGAAGACUCUCUGGGAAGCAGAACAAAACAGGCCGCCAGUGAAUUUACAAGCCUGAGUGAUCCGAGGAGGCUGGCAGUUGUAAGGACUGAAGAGAGACAUGAAGCCUGUUUGUAUGUGUAAAAGGGCCUGGCAGCCAAACAGACUCAGGAGACAGGAAUGAAAACCGGAUCCCAGACCCAGGCCUGGGUAGGAGGGAGAAUAACAACAAUCUUGUGACUGGCGCUUAGACAGCACCCGCUCCUCUUGCAGACACACUCAGGUAAAGACAUCCCUCAGGAGAGGCAGAAACAGGUCUGAAAAUGACUCCAGCGUUCCUGCAAAUUCAAAGGAGAUGUUCCUUUUUACAGGAGAAGAUUCUUGAUCCUGGAAUUGGAGGUGAAGGACAGGCACAGCAGGUAUGUGUUAGGGAUAUAUAUAGAUAUAGAUAUAGAUAUAGAUAUAGAUAUAGAGAUAGAGAUAGAGAUAGAGAUAUAGAUAUAUGAGAGAUAUAAUAUAUAUGAGAGAGAGAGAGAGAGGCUAAGGAGUAGCCAGCACAACAUCAUGGGAAGAUAAGACCAAGCCCCAGAAAAGUAUCCUAAUAUGUCAAACAGAAAACAAAAAUGAGUAGACCGAACAGACAACAGUCCUCUAGUGAAAUGCCUCAUUCCCUGCCUGAUGCGUGUGAGGGAAGCUGAGGCCAUUCCCACUCCUGGUGACACUGAAGCCAAAGCAGCCGGAGUGCCACUGAGCAGUCCACGGGACAUCUGGACAUGGGGAGGUGUCAGCUGGAAACCCGCUUCCCUGUAAAGCUUUCUUAGCUGCUGAACUCCUCAAAUGGGUCUCCUCUCCUUGCCUCUGAUGUUGAUGCUCUCUGCCUUUGCUUUUGUCUGCAUAUGGUGUGCAUUCCUGGUUUUCCUGGCUGCCCAUCUUCCUGGACUGUAAGCUACUCAGGUUCUGGAUUCAAGUUCUGCUAAGCUCCUUCUCCCCUGAACUAAAUGGUCAAGCAAUGUGGAUCUGCAGGAAAGCGACAGUUCUGAGAUCGUCGUUCUCUGGAAGACCCGCAGAGGAUGUUGCUUCUCCCUACCCACCAGUCAGAUGCUACAGGGCUGGAUGGCUUGACACAUUCUUAGGAAAAUUGCUCCCAGUUCUAAGUUGACCUGGAGGCUGAAGAGAGGGGCGGGGCUUGGCUGGAGGAGGCUGUCUUCCUUACCUACUUCCUCAGACUUCAGCAAGUGGACAGCUGACAGGGAGGAUAAGAGGCUAGCCUGCUACCCUUGUGGAGUUUCCAACUCCAACUUCACCUCACAGUUUGUACGGCAUGGGGUCAGACUGAAGUGUAGGCCACAGCCAGACCUGACUGCGUGCUCUCCUACUCCCCUCCCCGACCCCUAUUCAUCUCUUGAGACUCUGCCCCUGAUAAGCCACCAGAUCAAGGCUGCCCAUGCCAGAUCUGCUAUUGGAAGUUGACCUGAAGGGCACUGACUAGAGCAUGAGCAUUUUAAAACUGGUAUGACACCUAGCCCUCAGACAGCAUGGUGAGAUAGCCAGUAGUGAGAAGGAGAGGGGAAAUGAGUGAUGAGUGUGUGUGUGUCUGUGUGUCUGUGUGUCUAUGUGUCUGUGUGUCUGUGUGUAUGUGUGUCUUAGUUAGGGUUUCUGUGAAGAGACACCAUGACCACAACAACUCGUAUAAAGGACAACAUUUAAUUAGGGCUAGCUUACAGGUUCAGAGGUUCAGUCCAUUAUCAUCACAGCAGGAAGCACAGCAGCAUCCAGGCAGGCAUGGUGCUGGAGGAGCUGAGAGUUCUAUUUCUUGUUCUGAAGGCAGCUAGGAGCAGACUGGCUCCCAUGUGGUUUGGAGGAGGGUCUCGUUGCUCACCCAGACAGUUACACAGUUCCUCCAACAAGACCACACCUCCUAAUAGUGCCAUUCCCUGGGCCAAACGUAUUCAAACCACCACAGAGGAUGGAGAAGCCUACAAGAAGCUUAGUAAUGAGCUGGUGAUCUCAAUGGACAGUGGCACUUAGCCCUUUGGGGAAGCAUCUGAGAUGCAGGGAGGGAACUGUCACGCACCUAUUGAUGAUGGCCGCGGGAGGCUUGACCCUUCCAUUUCCUCCUGCCCUGGCUUGCUGCUGACCAGUGGUAAUGGAACUGUUCAUCAGUGACCUCAUAGUGCAGCCAAGAAGAUAUGGCCGGGCACCAGCAGCACACUGAAAUGCAAGCCCUGCAAAAAGACACUGAUGGUCAUGCUAUCCAGAUGCCUUUAGGAGCAUUAUUCACUGUGACUGCAACGUGAACUCAGAUAUGUCACCCAGCCCAGAAGCUGUCACAGGAUUUCCAGGCUCUUGGCCUCUUGCCCAAAGAAUUAAAAAUCAGAGCUCACGGAGAUUGGAAAAAAGAAGCAAGUAAACACAGUUUAUUCAGUACGAAGCAAUAGUGCGGGUUAUAGAGAGGCGCACUGUCAAAAUUGAUAGCAGUUGCGUGAUGGGGUACUCAAGGGUCCCAGAUAUUUUCCAAGGCUUCCGUUUACGGCGUUCAAGAGAAAAAGAAGCUAGUUACUAACAGGGUAGUGAUAGGAAAAAUGCGGCAAGGGUGGAGGGUGACUUUGGAGGGCCCAUGUAAGGGUGAGCCACUAAGAAAUUAUGCCAAGCAACAGAUGUAGUGUAAGAGGUUUAUUGGAGGAGGAGAGAGCAAAAGGCCCUUUUGGAAUGGGGACAUGAGGGAGAGAUAGAGACAGGCAGGCAGGGAGGCAAAGAAAGAGAAAAAGAGAGGGGAAGGGAUGGAGGGAGGAAGGAAGGAAGGAAGGAAGGAAGAAAGGAGGGAGGAAGGAAGGGAUGGAGGGAGGAAGGAAGGAAGGAAAAAAGGAGGGAGGGAGGGAAGGAAGGAAGGAAGGAAGGAAGGAAGGAAGGAAGGAAGGAAGGAAGGAAAUAGGAAGGAGGAAAGGGCAAGACAGAGAAUGAGGGAGAAGGAAUGGAGAGAGACAAGAGAGGGAACAAGUGAGAAUGCACCUCUGCAAUCUGGUUGCAGCCGGUGAUGAUGUAAGCUGCUGCUAAGUCCCCGAGAGCAGGCCAGUGGAAGUGCUUGAUUGCUAGCAGGUAGUUGGAUGCCUCUCUAUUUUGAUUGAUACAUCGGGUCAUCACACAAUCAUUUCUCUGCUUCACGUGUCCCUUACCAUGAUGCGUUUGGUUUUAAUCAUAGGCAUACUCAGGCAUGGGGUAAUAUGGUAAAUAGGGGAAUCCCCCUAGAAGGUUACUAGAAGAUACAGUUUUGACUCAUCGCACAUGCCUCCAAGCCAGAUCAGGCUGGAUUGGCCCUUCUAUUAUUCAUACCCAGGGAACUCACUUGAAUAAAAACUGUCUAAAUUGUACAGUUCCCUAGGUUGGAGAAGCUUAUACUAUUAUAUAUAAUUGUUUAUGUGCUAUUGUUACCAAAGGAUUCUAGCAUGCUAUGUGCAUUGUUUGCAAAAUGUAUAUACAUAAUAGCUGGAGGUAAAGAAGCUAGGUUGUCAAGUUCAUCAUUAUAAAAGAGUAUGUGCCUGCAUAACCCAAACCCAAAUGGAGAUCACAAGCUAAAUUAUCUGCUAUGCUUGCUUGCCCCCCAAAUGGCUUCCUCUACUACAUCAACUUCCCCAGUCCUUCAAAUAACCCUGUUAUGGAAACCCUCAAGAAGAUGUCUCCUUGCCUGGUUGCUAUUGCUUCUCUCUCUCUCUCUCUCUCUCUC